AUUGAACGCUGGCGGCAGGCCUAACACAUGCAAGUCGAACGGUAACAGGGAUCAGCUUGCUGAUUCGCUGACGAGUGGCGGACGGGUGAGUAAUGUCUGGGAAACUGCCUGAUGGAGGGGGAUAACUACUGGAAACGGUAGCUAAUACAGCAUAACGUCGCAAGACCAAAGAGGGGGACCUUCGGGCCUCUUGCCAUCGGAUGUGCCCAGAUGGGAUUAGCUAGUAGGUGGGGUAACGGCUCACCUAGGCGACGAUCCCUAGCUGGUCUGAGAGGAUGACCAGCCACACUGGAACUGAGACACGGUCCAGACUCCUACGGGAGGCAGCAGUGGGGAAUAUUGCACAAUGGGCGCAAGCCUGAUGCAGCCAUGCCGCGUGUAUGAAGAAGGCCUUCGGGUUGUAAAGUACUUUCAGCGGGGAGGAAGGGAGUAAAGUUAAUACCUUUGCUCAUUGACGUUACCCGCAGAAGAAGCACCGGCUAACUCCGUG
rnacentral:rRNA from 1 species